GAGAGGCCCUGUAACGCCCAUAUGUGCCCCCACAGCCCUGUUAGGGACAGGAGGAGAAUCUCACCCUAACUUGAGCAAAGUCGAAGGCUCGGUUACCCUUAGACCGGACGGGGGGAGAGGCCCUGCAACGUCCGUAUGUGCCCCCGUAGCCCUGUUAGGGAUAGGAGGAGAACCUCGCCCUAACUUGAGCAAGGUCUAAGGCCCGGUUAUACUUAGAUCGGGUGGGAGGAGAGGCCCCGCAAUGCCCAUAUGUGCCCCCAUAGCCCUGUUAGGGACAGGAGGAGAACCUCACCCUAACUUGAGCAAGGUCGAAGGUCCGGUUACACUUAGACCGGGUGGGGGGAGAGGCCCCGCAAUGCCCAUAUGUGCCCCCAUAGCCCUGUUAGCGACAAGAGGAGGACCUCGUCCUAACCUGAGCUAAAACCAAUUACGUCAGAAAUAGAGGAAGAACCCCGUCCUGACACCAAUUGAGAUUCGGUCACUUAAGACUGGAUAGGAAGAAGGGAACCUUCCCAGCGACCCCUUCGCGCCCCCGUGACCCCGCCAAGAGCAGAGGGAAAACCCUCACUCAAAAAAAAAGGAGGGAAGAAGAAGAAGGAGGGAA
rnacentral:lncRNA from 1 species